rnacentral:rRNA from 1 species
UACGAAGGGGGCUAGCGUUGUUCGGAUUUACUGGGCGUAAAGCGCACGUAGGCGGAUUGUUAAGUCAGGGGUGAAAUCCUGGAGCUCAACUCCAGAACUGCCUCUGAUACUGGCAAUCUCGAGUCCGGAAGAGGUGAGUGGAACUCCUAGUGUAGAGGUGGAAUUCGUAGAUAUUCGCAAGAACACCAGUGGCGAAGGCGGCUCACUGGCCCGGUACUGACGCUGAGGUGCGAAAGCGUGGGGAGCAAACAGG